UAUGGCCAUACCACCCUGAUUGAGCCCUAUCUCAUCUGAUCUCAGAAGCUAAGCAGGGUCGGGCCUGGUUAGUAGUUAGACGGAAGACCACCUGGGAAUGACCUGGGAAGACCACCU
ensembl:rRNA 5S_rRNA 5S ribosomal RNA